GAGACUAAGUUAUGGGCUUUUUAUUUUAGUUGAUCCUUAAUUAUAUGAUGAGGCUGACCCAGUAUUGUGUAGGGUUUUAGCAAGACGAUGUCGCAUCCGGUGAAGAAGACGCCGUAACCAUUUGUGUACCUAUGGAAUCCGAUCAAAAUCUCUGUAACGGAUGAGUUUCUGCUUAACUCCUCCAUCAAUUGACUCAUUAAACUGCAUUCAACUUCCUUCCCCUCCGCUCAUUAUUUGAGCCUCAUCAUCGUCAAAGGUAACGGCUACAACCUCGAGCUAUAAAUGAGUAUUUUCGAUGCACUGUAUACCUCCACCGCUCAGAUAUCUGCAAGAUUCAACUCUGUCAAGCAUCACCUCAAAUUAUGUCGACUUCAUAUGUUCUUUUCGCCGAUUUGAAAGCUGCGAGAUGCUUAAACACCACUGAUAUCCAUCUGCUGAGAAGAAAGCCGGUGAGCUGAUAGGCGUUGAACUCAUCGAUUUGAAGUCUUCGCUAAUCCAGACAUCAAUAUGUGUUCACCGGCUCAACACUUCCCGACAUCAUCUCAGUGAAGGUUUUGUGUACUAGCUCAGUGGUUUCGAUGUCAUACAGACUCCCCUGUCUCCAUUCGAUUCAAUGAUGGUACUUCGUUUGCAGCAAAAGCUGAAUCGGUUAAAACUGCAAAGAAGGGAGUUUUGUUCAGCAUUGGAGUGAGUUGUUAUUUACUACAUCUGGUCUUUACUGAUAGAGUAGAGAUUCACAAUAUCGUCAAUCUAAGGAACGAUGUAGAGAGGCUUCUUGAAUGUUAUAACGAUGUAUUGAGACGAAAACAUCAAGAGAUUAUUAAGAUAUGCUGCAAUAUAGAGAAAUUAUUAGAAUUUCAGGUUGAAGCAGAACUUCAAACUGAGUUUGAGCUUCUUCAGAUUGGAAAAAAACAGGAGGGUAACUAUUCCAAGCUCAAGGUAAACUACUUGACUUUAAAGUCCUUGAUAUUCAAGCGGUCAAAGAUUUGGAUUCUUUGUCUCAACUCCAACGCCCUAGGCUCCCACAUAACAUUAAUCUUUAUUGUCUUUUCUAAUGGAACUGUUUUUUUCUGAAACGGUUUAUAUGUUAAUUUUCAAUUCCUUACAAUUUGCAGGAAUUUUAAAAGAAAUGUCACGUUUUCGGCAAGGAAAUAUCAUUCUGAGAUUAACGUUUGUAAAUGAUUUACAGCUACAUUUUACAUAUAAUCCACAAAUAUUUAAGUUAAAGCACAAAUAAAAAUUCAUAAAUACAAGAUAAUUCAUUUAUGAUUUUUUCUCAUGUCUAAUCAAACAAAGACCAAAUAAGAUAAAAGAUAAAAUAAGAAUUGGCUUUCAUGAUUUUUUUCUUUCUCGGUCAUUAAGUUCAUAAAAUUAACAAAAACUGAUAGAUAACCACAUCCAAUAAUUAAUUCGUAAUCAAAAUAUAUUCUUAAAAUUCAAAUUCAGUUAUAGCUUCUAAAACAUGAGUUAUCAAUCAAAUAAUUCAAAUCUCUUGCCAAUAUUUCAGAAAGAAAAAACAAGUAUUGACAUUAAAAUACAAAUAAAAUGUAUCAAAUAAAAUACAAAAAAAAGACAGAAAUAACAAAUAAUAAUUAAAAGAGUGUCAUAAAAUAAACAUUUUUAUGAAUUCAACAACUAUAAUGCUUAUAUCCAUCACAAUGAUCUAGACAGUUUAGAUCAAACUCAUGUUUCAAAAAAAAAAAAAGCAAAAAU